rnacentral:lncRNA from 1 species
AACAUAAAGCCAAGUAUAAACCAGCACUUCAAUAGAUACCAGUUGAACCAACUAAGAAUGGGAAGAACCAUAAUAUAAAAUAACCAUAGAGUUUCUAAAAAAUUAUUCACAAUCAUACUUGUGAUUUAUUAAGUAUUUUACUGACUUUCAUGCGAAGCCAUUCUAAUAUAUAUCUACUGAGGGUAGGGGAGAUCCCUAGCUACCACUAUGAAUGGCCAAAUCAAUUCAAUUCCCCAAUUGGGGUCAGUUCAAUUACCAUUUUGGGAUAGUUCCAUAUCGAUAUUGGGUAUAAUUUAUGACCACAGUCGUACGUUGCCACUAUGGCCCUACAUAUCAUAUCGCCAAGAGAAAUGUCGAUCAUUCAUAGGGAUUGGUUCACCAACAUUUUAUACUCAGACGCAGGAGAAACAUAAACUCCUUAGAGAUAAAAGUCAAACAG